CUUAAGUGAAAAUAGUAAAGUCUAGAAGUGAGUCUGGGGAGAGAAACAUCCCCGUGCACAGACACCAGCAUGUGAGCUGAGGCGGGGCAGACGCUGUGAUGGCUCCCUGCCGAGGUGCAGGCAGAGGAUGAGAACAGGUGUAUCGAGAUGCAAGGCCCAUCCACCCUCCCGAGAGGCUCUGCCCUCUGGGAAAGCAGGAAGGCGGUCCCGGGACCCGGUGCCGUUCUAAGAUGUUUUUCUUCUGGGCCUUCGGUUCCGUGGCUGCGUAGGGGCGUUGGUGAGCAGGGGACAGGACUGCGACUGGAUGUCUGUAGUGACAGGAGCUUAUUCCCGAAAGGAAAUGGCAGGGUCGCUUGUUUGGAUAGUGUGGAGCUUCAGUGGCCACUAGGCUAA
rnacentral:lncRNA from 1 species